GAUGAAGAACGUAGCGAAAUGCGAUAAGUAGUGUGAAUUGCAGAAUUCAGUGAAUCAUCGAAUCUUUGAACGCACAUUGCGCCCUUUGGCAUUCCGAAGGUCAUGCCUGUUCGAGCGUCAUUUCAACCGUCCAGCCAUGCUGGGUGUUGGGCGUCUUGUCCCGCCUCGUGCGCGGACUCGCCUCAAAACAAUCGGCGUCUGUAUGUGGCCCUGAUGCGUAGCACAACUCGCACAGUCAGGUCCGCGUGCGGGCAGCCGCCAAAGCACCUUUUUUUUCUGAUUGACCUCGGAUCAGGUAGGGAUACCCGCUGAACUUAAGCAUAUCAAUAAGCGGAGGA
rnacentral:misc_RNA from 1 species